rnacentral:tRNA from 1 species
GCGGAGAUGGCGGAAUGGCAGACGCGCUAGAUUCAGGUUCUAGUGGGAGUUCAUCCUGUGAGGGUUCAAGUCCCUUUCUCCGCA